rnacentral:rRNA from 1 species
CAGCAGCCGCGGUAAUACGGAGGGGGCUAGCGUUGUUCGGAAUUACUGGGCGUAAAGCGCACGUAGGCGGCUUGGUAAGUUAGAGGUGAAAGCCCAGGGCUCAACCCUGGAAUUGCCUUUAAGACUGCCGAGCUAGUAGGUGAGAGAGGUAAGUGGAAUUCCGAGUGUAGAGGUGAAAUUCGUAGAUAUUCGGAAGAACACCAGUGGCGAAGGCGGCUUACUGGCUCAUUCUAGACGCUGAGGUGCGAAAGCGUGGGGAGCAAACAGGAUUAGAUACCCCCGUAGUCCCUGUCUCUUAUAC